GGAUGUAACGACAUGUGUCGCCCGCACGUCUUCUGAGUUAGGUCCUUCGGUACUUUAGCCUUCAUUUCCUUCUAUUUUUAAUUUUUGGUAUGACGUUCAGGGCAAAAAUGACACAAAUCAAUCCGAAUAUUUGUUGCGGUUGUCAGGAUUUCUCCUUCGUGCACUUCAGUUCGAAUCUCUGCUAAGUAGACAGGCUAACUUGAGGUAUUUCGUAGUUUUUCUUCAAUCUACUAAAUUCCAGAUCAGUGCCUCAAAAAUGUUCACCUCUACCUUCCACAUCCUUUCCAAUUCAUGAUUUAUAAACGUGCUAUAUGAUUCUAUGCUGUAUGACCGAACAGUUUCAAAUAUCGUUAUAAAAUAAUCGAACAACCAUUCGUUUGUCAAAUUUCGUCGCGAACCACUGGUUGUUGAGCCUCUGUCGUAAUGGUUAAAGUUGAUCGAACUGGUUUGUGAACUUGGUAUCUCUCCACACCCCCGCCAUCCGGUCUCCUACUCGCAGAUCGGGUUGAAUUCCGCUUACUAAGACGUGUAUCAAUGGAACGAAGAAUAAAAACAAAUGACGAUCCCGUGCGCAUACAUUUGUGACCUUGCCUUUGCCUAAGAGGCAAUCUAUAUAUAUGCAGAGGUUUUCAAGUCUCCAGCUUAGUGUUAACGGCUAUCCUCAAGAUAUGUGUCUUUAUGUGUACUCACCAUGUUGCUACCUUACAGUCUGAUGUUUUUGAUGUUCUGUUGUGUCAUUUGCAAACGAGAUCUGGCAUCGGAACAAUUGAACAACUACAAACUGUCAAACACUGGGAAUUCCUACAUUCAGACGGGAUAUGGCGUUCCUGUUCAUAGUAAAGAUGCUAGCCUGACUGUGGGACCACGCGGUCCUAUGCUCCUGCAGGACGUCGAGUUCCUGGAUGAGCUUGCUCACUUUGAUCGGGAACGCAUACCAGAGAGAGUGGUCCAUGCUAAAGGAGCAGGUGCAUUUGGCUACUUUGAAGUGACAAAUGAUAUCACUCGGUAUACAAAAUCCACUGUUUUCGAAACAAUCGGCAAGCAGACUCCGAUUGCCGUGCGAUUCUCUACUGUUGCUGGUGAGAGUGGAUCUUCUGAUACAGUUAGGGACCCUCGAGGAUUUGCGAUAAAAUUCUACACCGAUCAUGGUGUGUGGGACCUAGUAGGGAACAACACGCCAAUUUUCUUUGUGCGGGAUGCGUUGUUGUUUAAUCUGUUUAUCCAUUCACAGAAGAGGAACCCUGUCACACACCUCAAGGAUGCUGAUAUGUUCUGGGACUUUAUCUCCCUUCGCCCCGAAACCACGCACCAAGUGAUGAUCCUCUUCUCCGACCGGGGAAUCCCGGACGGCUUCCGACACAUGCAUGGUUACGGAUCUCACACGUUCAAGAUGGUUAACGCUAGCAAUGAUGCUGUGUACGUCAAAUUUCACUACAAGACAAAUCAAGGUAUCAAGAACUUAUUUGCAUCCGAAGCUGCAAAUCUCUCAGCCACAGAUCCAGACUACGCAAUUCGCGAUUUGUAUAAUGCCAUCGCGAGGGGCGACUUCCCUAGUUGGACACUCUACAUUCAGGUUAUGACCUUCGAGGAAGCCGAGAGUUUCCGAUGGAACCCCUUUGAUGUGACCAAGGUAUGGCCUCACGCUGAAUACCCACUGAUACCCGUUGGGAAGUUGGUUUUGAACCGAAACCCCUUGAAUUACUUUGCGGAAGUAGAGCAGAUCGCUUUCAGUCCAGCGCACAUGAUCCCGGGCCUCGAACCCAGCCCGGACAAAAUGCUGCAGGGCCGACUGUUUUCGUACGGCGACACGCAGCGCUACCGUCUUGGCCCCAACUAUCUGCAACUUCCGGUAAACUGCCCAUUCCAGACACACGUCAUAAACUACCAGAGAGAUGGACCACAAACAGUGCAACAUCAAGGAGGGUCACCAAAUUACUAUCCCAACAGCUUCGAGGGCCCCGAUAAUGCACAAGGACUUCACAGACCGAAAUUCUCCGUCUCCGGAGAUGUUGGCAGUCUGUUGUUUCAGGUACAAUUCCUCAGAUGAAGACAAUUUUAGUCAACCCACCCUGUUCUGGAGAUACGUCUUGAAGUCCGACGAGAAAGACAGGUUGGUGGACAACAUUGUGAGCCAUCUUAAAAAUGCUGCAGACUUUAUACAGAAUCGAACAGUGAACAUGUUCAGUCAGGUGGAUUCAAAUUUUGGAAUUAAAUUGGACAAAGGUCUAAUGAAAUACAAAAACAUACCCUGAUGGAUCGACGCAGCGCCACGUUAGCGGAGAGCGUGUGAUCUGGAAAUCUGAGUUGGCUCCGGCGCAAGUCAGUUCACACGUAACCUUAAUUUUCCUUUCAUCUUAUUUUACGUACGUCAUCAUUGCUUUAUAAUUCAUUAACCAUGUACUAUUAAUCGACUAAUUGGUCAAUUUGAGCAAAUAAACUAAUUCCAUAGAGCAGUCCUUCAUGAAAA